CAACAUCAGACAUCUCAGUCCAGAAAUGUGCAGUUCUAAGUACAGCCAAGAUACUGCACAGAACCCUCAAGCUCCAGGCCUCCAGUAGAGGAGCUGA